UUUCCCUGUUCUUCUCUCUGUGUGUGCAAGGGAGAAUGGCUGCUGAGAGGGGUUUCUCUGGAUUCUGCUGAGGACAGUGUGUGUCAAUGUGGUCUGCCUGGGAUGAAGCAGACAGAGGAAGAUCCCUAAAUGUUAAUAGGGAGAAACUUGUGCUCUCUAUAAGUGAAUAAGCAUGAGAUUGUAGGUAUGUUCUUCUCAGCUAUAUGUUUGUGAAAGUAAAGUUCUUUUAAAUAUAAGGAGUCUGGACAUUUCAUAUCAUCAAUACAUUGGGACCAUUUCACCCCUUUGGGAGAAUUUCCUCCUGCCCCCAAAGGAUGAUCCCACCCAAUCAGAGAUAACAUGGUGAAUGGAAUGAGAUCACAAUACUACAUAACCAAUCAGCUUUAACCAUUGCUGAGGUGGGAGUCGGCAGCUGAGAGCAAGGUCAAUCCAAAUGAAUGGACGGAUAUUUUAAUGAGAAACAUUCCCCACCAAUCACCCUGUCAAAACAGGGUGAUUGGUGGGGAUUGGGGGAAAACUGUCAAAAUCAUUUGAAAAAAAAGAAGAAAAAAAAGCUGGGGUGUAGUUUUAAGUCAGCCCCAGUUUUAACUAAAGAAUUUUGCUGGCCGCUAUCUUUUCUAAACUGAAUCCCAAAGCAUUGGUUCAAAGCGCUUAUCUAACAGUUUCUUUUUUGUAUAGUGGAAACUUUAAUUAUCUUCAGCUUAACUGUCUAUUCAUGAGAAAAUACUUUCCCCCCCUCGCAUAACUGAACUCUCCCUGACCUUUUUAUCACAUGCCCUGCACAUUUCCCAUUAGAAACACUUUCUGUGUUCAUUGAUGAUGAUAGGGGAGGAAGGAGAAGUGUUUCCCAGGUGUAUAUUAAGGCAAGCGUUGCUAAAAGCUGCGCUGAGGGGAUAGAUGAGUAUCAGGUGGAGGAUUACAACACUUGAAAAUACUGAUUAUGCCACUCUUUGUAAGAUAUGUGUUAAAUCUCCUAGCUAUGCAGAGAUUAGCAGGCUUCUACUCAGACCACAAUCCUGGUUCCCGAUUUGGUUGAAAAGUAGGUGUACAACGGUUGCAAGUGCAUUGCUUGAAUGAGACAUAGAUCCUGCACUGGGAUAAUCACUGAGAAUAGCAUAGGAAACCAUUGUUUUGAGAGAGGUUAAUUAUUUUUAUUUUAUUUUAUGAUUUAUACCCCAUCCAUCUGGCUGGGUUUCUCCAGCCACUCUUGGUGGCUUACAGCACAUAAAACAUUGUAAAACAUUAGAAAUUAAAAAUUUCCUGAUACAGGGUUGCCUUCAGAUGUCUUCUAAAAGUCAGAUAGUUGUUUAUUUCCUUGACAUCUGAUCGGAGGGCGUUCCACAGGUACUAGACCCUCUCCUUCUAAUUUGUCCUUUUCUCCACACCCCUAAAGCAAGAAUGGGGAACCCCUGCCCUGUGGGGCCCUGAGGCCAUUUCUCUCAAGCUACACCCCACCUGUCCAUCAGCUGACAUCACUUGGUCAGCUGACUGGGUGAUUUCUGCUGACAGGCAGGAGGGUGGGGUUCAAGCCAGCUGGGAUCUGCUUCAGCAACAUGUUUUCUGUUGGGAAUGAACUGGCAAAGCAGAACCACACAGUCAGCAAGCACGAAGCAUCUGCUCAUCAGCUAGUGAGUAGAGGGUUCAAUCCUGACUCUGUUGUUGUUGUUGUUGUUUAGUCGUUUAGUCGUGUCCGACUCUUUGUGACCCCAUGGACCAGGGCACGCCAGGCACUCCUGUCUUCCACUGCCUACCACAGUUUGGUCAAACUCAUGCUGUUAGCUUCGAGAACACUGUCCAGCCAUCUCGUCCUCUGUCGUCCCCUUCUUCUUGUGCCCUCCAUCUUUCCCAACAUCAGAGUCUUUUCCAGGGAGUCUUCUCUUCUCAUGAGGUGGCCAAAGUAUUGGAGCCUCAGCUUCACGAUCUGUCCUUCCAGUGAGCACUCAGGGCUGAUUUCCUUCAGAAUGGAUACGUUUGAUCAUCUUGCAGUCCAUGGGACUCUCAAGAGUAAAUCCUGACUGGGUGCUGCCAAUUCCUGCAGCCAGAAGGAUUGCACUGGAGGUUCAAAGAGGAGCACAGGUGGUUCCAAAGGCUUUUUGCAAACAGACCCGCAAUGCUCUUUAAACCUCUAAAACCUGACCCCGUCCACCUACCAAAUAUGGCCCUCCAGGGAUGAGGAGAUAAGGGUCUGGCCCACUGGCCAGAAAAGAUUCUCUGCCCCUGUGCUAAGAGGGAUGACCUCUUAGAGGGAGAAGGCCUACACAACAAGGGUCGUAUUAUAGAGAGUGACUCCAAAAUGUGUUCCCACUAAAGAUUAUUCUCCAUUCUGUCCUUCUCUCGCCACUGCAUUGCUAUCCCCUAUGGUGAUAACACUAUUUUCCUUCCUCAUUUUUUUAAAAAAAAGAUUCCUAUAACCUUAUUAUAAGUCUUGAGGGAAAUUUUGCUUUUGAAAGCAAAAUUCCCAUUCUGGUGGUGGAAAAUUUGAUGAAGAAAGCCUGCCGACUCUAAGCUUACAGAUAUAAAAAUAAAUAAACAGAACAAUAGAGAACCAAAGUUAACUACAAAAGGAGAUAGAGUUUCUGCCGAAACAAAUUUCUCAGAGGAUUUUGCCUUUCCCUGGUUGUGAGGUCUUGCUAAAGCAAAUAUCAGCUAAAGAUGGCAGUAUAUGAGCUAAUAGUACAAGUGCUUGAGCAUCACCCUCAGUCUAAGAACAGUCCUUAAAAUUAAUUAAAAGUUCUGAUCUCCCACAUCCAGCUCUUUGUCAUCUCAGACGUUCUGUGUGUCUGUGUUCAUGCACACACACACACAUCCCACAGCCAGACCUGUGAGAGCUAGCAAAAAAUGCACGGUGGCAGCGCAACAGAGAUACAUACUUUACAUCACAACAGGAGAGGAUGUGUGGGAGAGUAGACUCCAGUUAUCGCCAUUAAUGUUUCAUGAAAACUACUCACAUCUUCCCUACAACUGACAAGAUAAAAAAGAUACAGGCAUUAAAAUUCAGAUAACAGACUACUGCCUCGGCAGUCGUUGCAUUAGAAUUCAGAGCGAAAACUUCUGCUUUGCAAGGAAUACAAGGCCUGCUACAUUUUCUUCCAGCAGUGUUCCCAGGAAAAAGAAGAACACAUUUUUAAAACCAUACAUUCUGCAGGAUGCAAAACUGACUUUGCAACACUCAUUGUGCUACUUGUUACUAUUGGCUGCUGAUGUGUGAGGUGUGUGUGUAUUGCCACAGGGCCUAUGUUUUCUGC